AGCCCCUUUGGUGAUCGUACUGCAAACCGACUCAGGUGGACGGGGUGAAUAUCCCAAGGCGCGUGAGAGAACCCUGGUUAAGGAACUCGCAAAUUGACACCGUAACUUCGGGAGAAGGUGUGCCGCUGGCGGUUAGUGACUUCGCGUCACGAAGCUGUCGGUGGUCGCAGUGAAAUGGCGGUUGUGACUGUUUACUAAGAACACAGGACUCUGCGAAGUCGUAAGACGACGUAUAGGGUCUGAUGCCUGCCCGGUGCUGGAAGGUUAAGGGGAUAUGUCAGCGCAAGCGAAGCAUUGAACCGAAGCCCCAGUAAACGGCGGCCGUAACUAUAACGGUCCUAAGGUAGCGAAAUUCCUUGUCGGGUAAGUUCCGACCUGCACGAAUGGCAUAACAACAUCCGCACUGUCUCGACCAGGGACUCAGCGAAAUUACAUUGGGGGUGAAGAUGCCCUCUACCCGCGGAAGGACGGAAAGACCCCAUGAACCUUUACUGCAACUUGGCAGUGAUUUUCGGGUUGUUCUGCGUAGGAUAGGUGGGAGGCUUUGAAGCCGGGCUUCCGGGUUCGGCAGAGCCAACGUUGAAAUACCACCCUGAAUAAUCUGGAAAUCUAACCUGCGCCCAUGAUCUGGGCGAGGGACACUGCCUGGUGGGCAGUUUGACUGGGGCGGUCGCCUCCUAAAUUGUAACGGAGGCGUGCGACGGUUCCCUCAGGCUGAUUGGAAACCAGCCGUAGAGUGCAAACGCAUAAGGGAGCUUUACUGCGAGACUGACAAGUCGAACAGUUGCGAAAGCAGGUGUUAGUGAUCCGGUGGUACCACAUGGAAGGGCCAUCGCUCAUCGGAUAAAAGGUACUCUGGGGAUAACAGGUUGAUCGCGCCUGAGAGUUCACAUCGGCGGCGCGGUUUGGCACCUCGAUGUCGGCUCAUCGCAUCCUGGGGCUGGAGCAGGUCCCAAGGGUUUGGCUGUUCGCCAAUUAAAGCGGUACGCGAGCUGGGUUUAAAACGUCGUGAGACAGUUUGGUCCCUAUCUUCCGUGGGCGCAGGACACUUGAGAGGAGCUAUCCAUAGUACGAGAGGACCUGGAUGGACGAACCUCUGGUGCUCCGGUUGUCACGCCAGUGGCAUAGCCGGGUAGCCAUGUUCGGAACAGAUAACCGCUGAAGGCAUAUAAGCGGGAAGCUGGCCUCAAGACUAGGUGUCCCUGACGCAAGUCACUAAAGGCCCCUCGAAGACUACGAGGUUGAUAGGCUCGGUGUGGAAGCGCUGCGAGGCGUGGAGCUAACGAGUACUAAUAGGCCGUGCGACUUGACCUC
rnacentral:rRNA from 1 species